GACAGAGGGGGCAAGCGUUGCUCGGAAUCACUGGGCGUAAAGGGCGCGUAGGCGGGAUGGCAAGUCGGUCGUGAAAUCCUUCGGCCCAACCGAAGAACGUCGGCCGAUACUGCCGUUCUUGAGGGAUGCAGAGGAGACUGGAAUUCCCGGUGUAGCGGUGAAAUGUGUAGAGAUCGGGAGGAACACCGGUGGCGAAGGCGGGUCUCUGGGCAUUUCCUGACGCUGAGGCGCGAAAGCGUGGGGAGCGAACAGG
rnacentral:rRNA from 1 species